AAGUCCGGCCCGGGUAAGGGGUAGCCCCGCCCGGUAGUGAGUGUUGCGUUGGCGCUGGUGACGGUGCCGGCGAAGCAUACACAGCGAUGCUGUGGGGUGUGGGAUUGAGCCGCGAAAGCCAGCAACUCGCGGAGGCCGAGGCGGUCAGCAACGUCGAAGGCAACAUGUGCGGUGCCGCCAGGCGAGGCGCCGUCGCUCCGUCGGGGUCGCAGACC
rnacentral:ncRNA from 1 species